rnacentral:tRNA from 2 species
GCCGGUGUGGCGGAAUUGGCAGACGCGAUGGAUUCAAAAUCCAUUGGGGGCAACCCCGUGGAGGUUCAAGUCCUCUCACCGGUA